UACGAAGGGGGCUAGCGUUGUUCGGAAUUACUGGGCGUAAAGCGCGCGCAGGUGGUCUUCCAAGUCAGUGGUGAAAGCCCGGAGCUCAACUCCGGAACUGCCAUUGAAACUGUAAGACUUGAGGACGAGAGAGGUGAGUGGAAUUCCCAGUGUAGAGGUGAAAUUCGUAGAUAUUGGGAAGAACACCGGUGGCGAAGGCGGCUCACUGGCUCGUAUCUGACGCUCAGGCGCGACAGCGUGGGGAUCAAACAGG
rnacentral:rRNA from 1 species